rnacentral:lncRNA from 1 species
ACGCCCUCUGUAGGCGUGUCGCUGCUCGUGUCGUUUUCAUUGGUCCCCUACUGUUUCAAACUUGUGCUUCAACCGGAAGCAUUACAUGUCCCGUACAUGGACAAAACAGCUAAAAGUUCUUAACCCUUGACAGCACAGUGCAGUCGCUAGUUCACCAUGAAAGGAACCGCUCAAGUCAAGGUGGUGACAUCAGGGAGGCUGACAGGAGGGGUCAAAGUGCAGCUGUCCAGGAGACGAGGGACUCAUCCAGGACCGGCAGCCUGCACUGAGCCAGCCUACUCCCUGUACUCCACAGACUCUGAAGAGCAGGUCACUUCUCUCCAUCAGGGUCUGGACAGAUGUGCUGCCUUGCUCGGUGGCAUCCUUCAAGCUGAGAAGGCAGCUCCUCCCAGAGCAGUGAAGGGUGGAGCAGCUAAAUCAAGACCAUCUACCUCACUGAGGAAGAAGCCCAUCAACAACACAGUGAGGCAGAGGCUGUGGGACAAGGGGAGCACAGCAGAACAUCUUACAGUGCAGCGUGGAGCAGGCAGAACACCUGCAAGAACAACUCGUCAGUCUGCUGCUGCCGCUGCCCUCUCGCCACAGAAGCUCCAUCCACUUCAGACACAACCUCCCAACCUGCUGCAGCACCUCCGCCCCACCACCCCUCCACCCCAGCCCUCCAUCUCUCCCUCAGGCCAGCUGCUUCUCCCUCAGACUGAAUGUCAGGCUGCUGCUGAAGUUCCACACGCACACUGUGUGUCCGAGUGUGAUGGAGAAGAGGACGAGUUUGUUCCCGUGAGAGACAUCAAUACCCAAAGCAGUGUCGUGCACACAGCUGUCAGACACACACACUCGCACGUACACACCUGUACCUUGAAGAUGUCAAGCAUGCAGCUGGAGCCUGGACAGAGCGCUGAAGUUCCUCAGGACACACAGAGCGAGGAGGAUGGCAGUGCAGAGACGCAAGAGAAAGUGAAGACGGUUCAGUGUCUGCUUGGAGAACUCAAGGCUCUGAUUGCUGGACGAGGCAGUGUAGCAGAGAGGCUGCUCUGUCAGCUGGAGCAGACCGUGUCUUCACCACGGACGGAUGUUGGUGGUCCAAACAUCACGACUGCACCGGACCCACCAUCACUACACAGCCACAACUCUCAGCUCCGCAGGUACCUCCGCUCAGAGUGCGAGUGCGAGUGCGUCCAUUUUAAUCAUAUAGACCAGGGGUCUUCAAUGUUUUUCAGGCCAAGGACCCCCAAACUGAUGGAGAGAUGGAGCAGGGACCCUCUACUAUAUAUAUUGUAG